ensembl:lncRNA
GAACAAUCCAGUGGAGUCUAAACAUUCCUCUCCUCAGAUCUUAUCAUUAAGAGAAAGUUUGACAAAGAGGAAUACAAUUUUAUUAGAUUUUUAGAAUUUAUCUUUCUCUACUAUGUAGAAAUACAUGUGUGAUACGGAAGCUCAAAAGAGAACUUUUCAGUUUCAGACAGCAGCAGAGAGAGAUGCAGAGAUAUUGCAGAGAUGCUCACUUCAGUUUUUUUGGCAAAGAACAACAGGCCCCUCCCACGACAGUUUGAUUGACAGUAGCGUUUCAGCACAGACUGGACUGGCGUUUUACCUUAGACCCACCCUGAGUGAGCUGUCAUCAGUCCACCAUUGUUUGACCGCCGGAGCAGAUGUAGACAAGAAUGUCUUCUAAGCGAUUGAGGUGUUCUACUGUUGGAUGUAAUAAUGAACAUAGCAGUCGUCAUUUUCUCCUGACAUUUGAGCUGCUGAAGACACAGUGGAUUACAUUUUGUGCCCCCGAUCUACCUAAAGACAUCUAUCUUUGCGUGAAUCAAUCGUGAUCCUGCUUCACCAACAGAAAAAGAAUAUCUGGCAACACUGGCAGAACUUAAAGUGAUAGUAAUCAAAAGAGCCCACAGACAUGUUAUUGCUGACAGGAUACCACAUUCGGUAAGGCAAAUGCAAAAAAAAAAAAAAAAACAUGAUAUUAUCUGUCAGAAACCUUAUCAACACUAUCAAAACAGUAGCAUAUAACACUAGUGCAGAGAUCUGUAGAACAAGUAUUUUACAUCUAUGCUAUUUC